ensembl:lncRNA
GAUGGAAAGAGUGAUGAUAAUGCCAAUGAGGUGAUCUGAAGCCUCGCUCAUAGCUGCUCUAAAUGCAGCCACAUAAAGCAGUAGGAUUCUGCUGGUGACAUUUGGACCACAAAUGAAGUCCCCGAGAGUAAUAAACAAUCAGGUAAAGAAAUCUGGAAAGAAAUUACCCAGCACACCUCGUCUUCUUGGCCCCCACGAGAUCCAUAUAAAAUGUGUUAAUGCAUCUGAUUAUGAUCUAAAUUACAUCCAGAGGCUCCUGCCAAGCACUCGGUGAAGUUUCUUUAUUGUUAAGUUGGAAGCUGUUUAAGAACGGUCCAGUCAUCGUGUUUCAAAUUAGAUUUGGGAAAAAAAACAUUCUCCUACUUCUGCUGGCUCCUACCACGGGUCUGUGGGAGAAAGUCGAUGUGUGGUUUUUCUCUGCUGAAGUGAGAGCAGGAGAAGUGGUGACAGCACUAAAGGAGCAAGUCAGCCUAUUGCCUGUCCUUGUAUCGUGACCCGAGCUGAGCAGAUUUACUGUAUGUUGACAUGCCAGAAAGUGACUGCAAAUGCAGCUGGCUUUUGAGAUGCAUUUCUCCUGAAAAGGGAGAAGAACCACCACAGUGCUUUCACACACACUCCUACCUUCCACACACUACAGAACCUGGAAAUAGUUUCUGAAAAUGUUAGGUUUGAUAAGAAUGGCUUGAAAAGCAUCACGCAAGACUUCCUCCGUGCCUGCAAGGAUCGGCUUAGCUGUUGCUCUGGCCCAAACCAGCAAAUCACUGUGCUCUUGGAGGCAGGCAAGAAAGCUGUUUUUCUCCCCUCACUUGCACUUAAACCCCAGACCAACCCAAGCUGUGUUAUCUUCUGCUGACAUCCAGCCUUUGCUGCACUGCUCAGCACCGGCUCCCCCUCCACUGCUGGCUGCACAUGUUAGAGGCAGAGCCAAGGUCACCUUGCUCAGGAUGUUGGGUUUUUUUUAAAGGCAAGGUCCACAUAGAUUAAAGAUCUUCCAUCUAUUACCCCUGCCCUUCAAAACACACAGCUGUAGCAACAACCACAUAAAUAUACACUGGAAGGGCCCGACAGGAAACAGCUAGCACAUAAUAGCUCUCACAUACUUACUUUGCACUACCCGUACGUAUAUAUACACACCACAAAUAGCUGUCUGCACCUCCUCUCAAGGUGCACAGCUCAUCAUCAGCACGGGUCAUCACUCUUCAUAUUCAUAGCCACUGUCCAGCAUAGGAGGCAUCUGAAGGUACCUACCCCUCCCAGUCCCUGUGCUAUGUGAAGACAUCAACUGAUACAAAUAACUGCUGGCUGUAACUGAUAUUGCUCCAUAGGAUGACGUUAGAAGCCAAGCAUCAGAAAGCAUAUUUAAGAGAAGCCUGUACUACCCAGCACGUGUGUGUUAGGGCUCAUGUUUGGGCAGCUCAGCUUUCACCUCCAGAGACCUACAACAGAGCAGCAAGAUAAACAAUGCAGAGACUAGGAGAGAUGUUAGACCUGAUGACAUCCUCGGCCUUUUAGUGUUUUCUCCUACAAGUAUUAACAAGGCAACAAGGUUAUGACUGUGAGCAGCACUCUUGCUUGCAGUGAAACUCAGUGUAAAGAUGAAAUUUGGAAGUCAGUGUGUGCAGAACUCAGCCCAAGCCUUGUAUCAGCAGCUCUGCAGGAAAUUAGAGCUAGAACUUCCAUUUCUAGCCACCACUAUAAUGCAGGGGUUUCAAUACCAAAGAUGUUUUAAUGAAGGAUCACAGGCUGGAUCUCAGCCAGUCGACAGCACUGUUAAAAGGAAGUCUUUAUCUCAACAAAACACUUACUGAACAACAUGCUAGGUGCUUGAAAAUAAAGCCUACGCUAACAACCAGAUUUUAACCUGAAAUCCUGCAUGUUGGCAUUCUCUUCUGCUGCAGGUAUAACUGAUUCCCUUGCACAGCAUGCUUAUUUUCUCUCCUUCUAAAGGAAAAAGAAAAAAAAAGGAAUUUUCUCUUUCAGCUUAACUUUGAGGCAAGAUGGAAGACCACAGCCUUCCUCAAAGAAGUGAGAUCUUUUGAACUCCAAGUCAGCAGGCUCUCACAGGAGCUGAGCUCGGGGGCUGUUCUGGAAUAAAUCAAAAAGGAUUUACUCUUUCACUCAAACAAGGCAGAAAAAAAUCCCCUAGAUGUACAGAUUUUCAGCUGGGGAUACGAAGUUAGUUAAUAGGUUCAAAAAUAAACCAAAAACCAAAAAUGGAAAAAAUGGAAGAAAAAAGACAACUUACAGGAGUGUCAUUAUGGCUUGAUUGCCAUGAUCCUGUAAGCUAAACGCUACCUGCAUGACUGGAUUUCCUGGAGGAAGUCAUCAGCACAGUUGCUAAGUCUGCUGGAAGCAGUUCAACCCAUGUACAUGUGGAGCAGAUGCUCUGAACUCAACACAAGGACACAGCACUCCUGCAGAACUCUGUGGACAGCAAGUCAAAACAGGGGCUCGAACUGGUCAUGCAUCAUCAGAGAUGCAGCUGUGAUUUCUCAGAGAUUAUUAGAGUUUGAGGGCAGAUGGGACCCCAAGAGCACCCAGUCUGCUUCUUGCUGUGUCACAGACCAUUACAUUUCAUCCAAGCUUUCCUAAGAGCAGGAGUUGGAUCUGGCAGCCUUAAAUAACUGCGUUCCCAGUAACAACUCAUGUGCUAUUUGCACCACAAAACCCCUGCUGCCUCAAUAGAUUUGCCUGGGAUACAACAGCCCUGUAGUGCCCUUGUGCCUUUGGCUCCUGGUUCAAGCCCAGAUUCAUCAGCAGUUUCAUCAGUACUUCAGAGCUCAGUGAUGAACAAUUCCCAUCCUCUGGCUUCCUUACAGGAGUGAUAGGAGAGUUGGGGAAGAAGAAAUGUGCUGCUGGCAGCAGCCUCCAGCCUCUGCAGUGAGAUUGCCCGUGCUCCCCUGUCAAUCACACACCCCCAUGGUAGCUGUGCAUCAGCAGCCCAUGGACUAAUCCCUACAUGGCGAGCCUACCUAGGCUAUGAAGUUUUUAGAGGUAAGAAGAGAAAUGUGCAGAUCACGCACAUCAUUUCAGAGCCCAACCUCCCUGCAGAGCUGUGUGCCAGGAUUGGGAUCCUCAGCACACAAGCAAGCUCAGCCCGUUCAUGACUAUCAGUGCUUCUUUAAAAAAACAGAAUUUAAACAGCCGAAAUCAGAAUCUUGUGAAACAUCACUUCUUCACCUGCAGCUCUGCCAAGUGAAGUUGGCUAGGGCUUUCAGCAAAUUGCAAGUGAUUAAAUGAAAGAGUGGGUGGCCAAGCACAUAAAGGGCUUGACUCAGAUUCUGUGAGUGACACCAUAUUGGUGCUGUCCAGCUUUUCCCAUCUGUUACCAUUACUGUAACGUGUAUGGUGAGAAGGGAAAACAGUGCUGGAAAAUCACAGAGAUGUUUUGGUAGCUGGUUAAAAUGCAGAAGAAGAGCACCAGUUUCAUGGAAGGUGUGGAGCAGAUCAGUACUGCAGAGCUUGGGUGUGCCUUACCUUCUGCACUGCUUCUUGGCUCAGAGCUGUCCUGCAUCACACAUCAAUCCUUCACUACUUUUCUUCUUUCUCUUAGUGUUGAUCUCAAGGGUGCUUCUCCUCUUUAAUACAAAAAACAAACAGAACCAUAUGUACUUAAGAAACACAUUACCCAUUGCCUAGAGGCAUUGUGCAAAGAGAUGCUGCCUAUUAGCAUGUUGGCUAAAAACAUGCAUUCCAGAAGAGAUUUGUGAAGGACCAAUGCUCCCAUGGAGCUGAACUGGGCUGGAGGCAACAGGCAUACAGCAAGGGACACCUUGGGUGCCACAAUGCCCCAGGUCAGGAGGAACGGCCCCAGAAGCGCAGUGAGAAGUGACCAGCACAUUUCACAAAUACCAGGCUCUGAACAAGAAAGGAGGGAUAUUUCAAGUCUUUCAUAGCUAAUGGCAGGAGAUGAAGGUCACCAGCUCUGCGCUCCAUCAGCACAAAGCCAGCUUGCAGCGAACACCUACAGGGAUGGUGACUCCACCACCACCCCGGGCAGCCUGUGCCAAUGCAUUAUUACUCUUUCAGAGAAGAAACUGUUCCUAAUAUCCCAUGUGUUCUCAGCUCCCUUAACAUAAAACUCUUCCACAACAGCACUUGGCAGCCGACAGCUCUGUAGUACACACACUCAACUAUUUCCCACCAAAAAAAGGCAGCUACUUCACUCCGUCAGUGCCAAGGGGAGCACCACAAGUCCCCUGCCCUGUUCCACGACACCCCAGGAACUCUACCAUCAGAUCCAGAUUCAACCCAGUAACUCCCAGUAAUUCCUCAUCCUUUUUCCCUAGUUCAAAACCCACUCCAGACACACUUCAGCUGCAAAUAAUCAUUUAAACAUACAGAAAACCGAACCAAAACAAAGUACCUUUUGCUAACUGAAGCUUGAGGGUGCAGGACUGCUGCUCAGCAGCCGACGUCUCUGCUGCAUGUGGCAUUCCCUUUUGUUUCAGAACAUAAGUGCUGUGGAUCAGGGCCAUCCCCAUCCUGCCUUCAUACUCCUACACAGCUCUGGCAGCCAGCACAAGCGGCACGUCCCAAGUCUCCCUCUUCCCACCCUUACUGUUACUAACGCGUUCCAUGCUCACCGCCUAAGCUCAGCUGUCAGGGACAAGAAUGGAGCUUUGGUGGCUGCUGCUGGGCUCUGGCACCGAAGUUGGCAGCUGCCUAUAAAAGCUCCUCCAUCCUCUUCAGUUCAGCUGGCAAAAUGCUUCCCGAGCUCCUGCAUCUCUGAGUUGAGAAGAAGUAAACACGCUGCAAAGGGAGCUCUUCUCUCUUGCAAGCUGCAAGGGAUGGCAUGUUUCCAUCUGCAAAAGGCUACAAGAUGUCUGCAGAAACAGGAACUAAUAGCCAUGGCCACUCCAAUCCCAGCUCCUCCCAGAACUCAAAGCUCCUUCCAGAGUUCCUCAGAAACCACAAGUGAUGGUGUUACUCAACAGCCACAGCCGAGGAUUUUAUUUCAACAAGUCCUGCAAAAUCCAUGAGCAACAGGACACAAACCCAGCAUGUGCACACUGUGCUAGCUGGCAAGGCUUUAGUGCAAGCUUUGAACACACACAGUUCACAAAAUAAAAACCUAUAUUGGUUAAUUCUUUAAGGCAUUGUCUAUUCUGGGCCCGUGAAACUCAAGACACACAGCUCGUGGGGCAAACUACUUAAGAAUGAGGCCAAAUUGCAAGCACCUUUUAACCCACUGCUCAGUGGGAUGCUCAAACUUGCAUCAUCCACGCUAAUCACUCUCCUGAGUCUUUCAAGCGUGAUUCUAACACGAAGGUGCUCAUGGGAUGAACAACACCUGGCAAAAAGAGCAAUGCCUCUUCUCUAACAAACUCUGCAUACUACACAAUGUAAAAAUUACAAGAUACAUUAAUGGCAGCGGUGACAGUACAACAUUAACAGCAGCAAUAUUACACUACCACCAGCUCACCCUGAAAGAAAGGCUGUUUCUCUCCCUAGUCUCCAUCAGAGAUGCAGUGGCAAGGAGCUGUUACGGCUACAUUUUAUUUUUUAUUAGUUCUUACAAGCUAACUAUGCUAAAAGGUUGCAUCAGGAAUUCAAACUGCAGUUGUCAGCAGAAGUGAAGGACAUUGUGGGAUACAUUUUACUCAAGCUCUUUUAUUGCUUGGCUUCUCGGAGUGAUUCAAGCAGGACUCGAGAGGUACUGUCGCAACAGUAUCUGGCCCUUAGCAAGCUGCCAUUUAAUAACAAAUAAAUAAAUGCAACCAGCAGCCUUUACAGCACUGGCUGGACCAGCAGAACAAGAGUCAACAACUGCAGAUUGCUACCAAAGUGCUCCCUAUGGGGAUGUGCCUUCUGAGAUGUUACUCGCGCCUGACAGAAGGGUGGUGGUUCCACAGCUCAUGGGAAACAGUGAUUUCUGCAGCCAUGCACACAUCUGUGACACGGUAACACAGCUGACUUCACCUCCCCUAGGCUGAAAAUGAAGUGUGGGAUCUGCCGAGUGGUGUGAUGGGCUCUGCAUUGAAUGGACUGCAGAGGGAUGGAACAGGCUGUAAUUGGGUUUGGUGUGUCCUGCCCACUACUGCCCUAUCACUCAGGUGCAGGUAAUGCCACUUCCCUGAGUGUCAGUCUCAAGAGGAGAGGGCAGAGGGCUGGAAUACAGCAUGACUGGCUCAGACCCAGGCCAAGAAAGACUCAAACAGCACUGGCACAAGUAGAAAUGCUUUCAAGAUUCCCCAGACAGCAGGCAGCUGCUUUUUGUCCAGGCACCAUGUGGGGGUUCUGCUGGACUCUUCUCUACUGACAAUCAAAAAAUGACUUAAUUUGCAUCAGUUAUCCCUUCAACUUGUUGCUGUGCACCACCUGAAGUGCUUGGAGCUGGAAGGGAUGCUGAUCUUCACUCCCAUCCAGCUCUGCUGGGCAGAGCACAUCACGCUGAUCCAAUGUCUCCUGGCUGCCUGCCUGGCACAGCACCCGCUGCUACAUCCCAGAAUGAGAACUAACCUGGAACAGGGAAGAGCACAGUAUCUUGAGGGAGAGCAGAAGGACCACUGAAUCCUGACUCAGAAGAAGACAGAAGGCAGCUGAACCCAGGUCACUGCUUGCCUGGGGCACGGGCAGAGGCAGCCUUGCUGUCUGCAGAUCUCAAUUAAACCACUGAGCUGAAGCAAGAGCCCAACCUAUGUAUCCUAGGGCAAAAGGCAGCUUUAUUUGGUGCUUCCAAAGUGUCCCUGUUAUGAAGGUGAAGUUUCCUGCAGGAGCUGAUGUUCUACUGGUAAUUUAUUUGACCUGCAGAGACAGAAGCUUCAGCACAGUUUUCAACCACAAGAAAUUCCCACACCAACAGUCUCAGCAACUCCAAGACGAAACCACCCAACCCCCUAACCCUGACCCCAACCACAACGCUGCUGCCUGCUCUAUUGCAAAAUGGCUUGUUGUCAGGUCUCUCCACGUCACCCUCUGCAUGUGCAGACACUGCACCAAGAGAGCUCUAUGUUGCCCAGAGUGAGAGCUGAAGAUGCCACUGUGCCAGGCAAGCAUGCCUUUAAGUCUGUGGGAACAAACAGAACGUGCUUUGUGAAGCACAGGCUUUUUAAGCAGAGAUGGCUCUUGCAACCAGACGUGGGAUUUUGUCACUUUUAAGCCUGGGAGCUCUUUUUUACUGCAUUAAAAGUAAGUGCUUCAGGUCACCUUUGAUGCAAAGAGUCACCUACAAGGAGGCAGCUGUCAGAUGGUGCCUCAGUAAUGCAGUAUCUGCUCCUUAUCUAUGGGCUCAGAGCCUCGUGAACGCCUGUGCCAUCUGUACAUUGCAUGUCUGUACUCCAAGUCCCACAGACACUUCUUUGAUGUGUUGGCCUUCGGUGAGCUGGAGCUCCUAAAGGUCUUUGAAGACAACAGCAAUCUGCAUAGAAUUAUAUACUUAAUGGAUAAGGGUCCCUCCAUUCCUUGAAACACAAGUUUCUAGUGUUAAAAAAAAAUACACACGAAUUAAAUUGCAUUUCAGUCUUUAAUUCUCAUUCAUUUUGUUAAGCAAACAGGGCUGCAUUUGGCACAGAUGGAGGAGAAUGGCACACACCACACAGACAGUGCUCACCAACAUCUGCUGCCCACACCGCUGUCAGACUUAACCUGGCUCCUGAUCACUGCUGUCCACGGGAGGAAGGCAGCUCUCUCUGCUGCAGAGAAGGAGCUCCAGUGAGCUUAUGCACAUGUAAGAAUCACUUGGAAAAGUAAAAAAAGAGUAUGGCUGCUUAGGGCAAAGCUAAGUCAUUGAGUACGUUGGACCAGGCUGGAUAUCAGGAAAAAAUUACUUUCUGAAAGAGCAGUGCUGCAGUGGCACAGCUGCCCAGGGAGGUGGUGGGGUCACCGUCCCUGGAGGUGCUCCAGAACUGUGGGGAUGUGGCACUGAGGGAUGCGGGCAGUGGGCACGGUGGGGUGGGCUGGGGUUGGACUGAAUGACCUUGGAGAUCUUUUCCAACCUCCCUGAUUCUGUGAUUCUAUUUCAUGUCCUUUAAAAAGGCACAGCUUUCAAAUAGAGUGGUGACUGACCAUUUUGGAAAGAUUCAGGAUUGCACUGUACUGAGCCAUCUAAGACCUUUACAGUAAUUUGAUAAACAUUUUAGCAUAGAAUGCAUUUGCUGCAUUAUGUUUGCUCUCUGAACUACAGAGGAUCAAUUGUAGGCAUAAAGCUUCCCUAAUGCUGGAAGCCACAACAGAGACGACACCACCCGGAACAAAACUGCAUUGAAAAGCUGUGGGGUUCAAAGAGAAUAGGAAGAAAUAACCAAACAUGCAGCAGCUCAUCAUUUCACACAAUCAUUAAGGUUGGAAAAGACCUGUAUGAUCGUCUAGUUCAACCAUCCACCUACCACCAAUAUUGCCCAUGUAUCCAUGUCCCUAAGUACUACAUCUCCAUGUUUCUUGAACACCUGCAGGGAUCAGGGAAUUCACCACCUCCCUGGCAGCCUGUUCCAAUGCCUGACAACUCUUUGCUCCUCAUGUCCAAUCUGAACCUCCCCUGUUGCAAUUUGAGGCCACUCCUGAGCCUCCUCCAGACUGAACCAUCCCUGUUCCCUCAGUCACUCCCCAUAACAUUUGUGCUCCAGACACUUCACAGAUCUAUUGCCCUUCUCUGAACACCAAAGAUGCUUCACUGUCUUUCCUAUAGUGAGGGCCUCAACACUGAACACAACACUCAAGGUGAGGCCCCACCAGAGCUGAGUACAGGGGAUGAUCACCUCCCUUCUCCUACUGGCUGCACUACUUCUGAUACAACCCUAGAUGCCAUUUGCCUCCCUGUCUACCUGGGCACACUGCUGGCUCAUGUCCAGCCGAGCGUCAACUAACACCUUCAGAUCCUGUUCCUCCCUGCAGCUUUCCAGCCACUCUGCCCCAAGUCUGCAGCAUUACACGUGGUUGUUGUGACCAAAGUGCAGGACCUGUCAUUUGGUCUUGAACUUCGUGCCACUGGCCUCAGCCGAACUUUGGGGCUGUGACCAGCCACAGGCUGGAUUUCACUCCUUUCUUGACCACACUGUGGGCCCUGCCCUCAAGCCAGUUUUUACCCAGCAGAGUAUGCCUGUCCAAAUCAUGGGCUGCCAAGCUUCCACCAGAUUCAGAGUCCUAAAGCUGCAUCUUUUUCACGUUGAGUCCCAAAACUCGCUUAUGCCAACAACAGAUCCCUUGGAGAUGACUCCAAGAGACCAACCUGCCAGGAGGCUGAAGGCCAGGUUCCACCAUAGCUCCGAAACAUGAGGGAAAUUGAGCGUUUUGGCUUCAGUUCUGCCAGCGGCUCAUUCGCAUCUCCACUUCUUCAGCUGCUUGGAUGCACCAGUACUUCAUCACGUUACUGCAGCAUCUCAAACAUGUGGAGCUGUCCAUGCAACCUCAGCCCAAGGGCAGGAGAGGCCUUGGUGCCCUUCUGGAUUCUCUUAUCUUCACAGAAGGCAAAGCUUCCACAGAAGAAAUGAAACCAGCAGAUACCUGCACUGUGCCUGCUGAUCUACACAGAAAUCCUAGCCAGUCUCUUGUUUUUUAGAUCUCCUUUUCAGCAGAUUAAGAAAGAUUAUCCCAGGGGUAUGGCAACCAACCAGAGUGCAGGAGAUCAUUUCAAGACAUCUGUAAUAGCACGCAAUUAACAGCCUCUCCUCAAUUUUGUCUCCUGGCCUCAUUCAUUAAGAAGAUGUUUUUUUUAAUCACGCUUACACAACACCUUUAACUAGCAACCCCUCUACUUCCAUUACUGCCACUGCAGGCCUCAGGCUCCUCUUUCCUCCCCUUGAAAUAGAUUCAAAGCAACAUCUUCAUUUCCACUCCUGCUCAUCCACAUUGAAACUGCCUAUACGCACAUGCAAAACAAGCACAAAUUACACCAUUAACUUCAGCUUAGUCAGCUCACACCACAGACUAAGUCAAUAUUUGACAGAUAUUUAGCAAGGACGAGAAUUUAUUUAAAUUCAGCACAUCGUGCCCACAAGAGCGGAUUUAGCAGAGGAUGAGAGACAACAGGACACGCUGCUUGGGAUUUGGAGGACAAAAACUUGCCACUUCGUAACCACAGAAUUCUUUCAACUGGAUACCUCCUGUUGUCACAAAAAGGAGGUGAGGGAAAAGCAGGAUCUGAGCUCAGUCCAAACCUUGUGAGGAACAACCAGCUUUCCUGGGGGCAACGUUGUGCGUGAGUGAGGACGUCCCAUCUUUCAGAGAAGAGGGGUUGCUAAGGCAAUCCACCUAAAGGCCUGUCAUCUGUACCAGCCCACAACUUCAACACAUCCCAUUAAUGCCAGCUGUAGGGCAGCUGAGUUCGUACACAGCCUUGGUUUUCAACAGAAACCAGGAAAAAAAUAAGAAACUGUUGACUGCAAGACAGUCCCCUUCCACAAUUUUUAGAAGCUUCUAAAACCCAGUGGUCCAAAACAAGCACAUCCCAGCAGACGUCGAUGCUGAGAGUCAGCCACAUCUCUCCACAGAUGCCAUCGCUCCCAAUGAUUGUUUUCCAGAGCACGAGCUCCAGUCCAAGCACAGCGUCAGCGCAGUUCUGAGCUUUGUGCCAGCACGGGCCAGAAGAAUAAAGACUGCUGAAACCACCCAGCAUGCCAAAUGGGUUUAACAACAUAUCAAAGAAAUAGGUUUAACCCAAAUUGUGUCAGUUUUCAUAUGAAUAAGAUCAACAUACAUCCCUUUUCAACGUAAAAAUGUAGAUAAAACAGAACCAAGAGCAAAUUCUUCCCCUCCUCUGUGGUUAAAGACCAAUACAAAAGCUUCUGGAUCCCUCUAACCCUGUUACAUGUGCUAGUUCUUCCUGCUGGCUGGCAAAGUUUUUACUUACAUGAGCCCUUGGGAGCAGUGCCAAAACCGAAGAGUAAAAGGAACAGGUCAGUGAAAAAUCCCAACAAACAGAGCAUCACAGGGAGACAGGAAUCAAAAUUAAUCAUUUUUUUGAUCAAAUCUCCUUCUCUGCACUACCAAGGCAGAGCUGCCACCAGCAGAGAAGGCUGCACACUGCAAACAAAGCUAUGUGUGUGUGAACUAAAUGUUCCCUGCAUUGUACUUAACAGUCUGAGAGAGGAGUCCAAACACCAAGUAAAUAAACAGGCAAUAGGCCCAGGCCCCUGACAAAGCAGGGAAAGGAAAAAGCAGGGAGAAGGACAGAUGUAAGCACAGGAACAAAGCUGAACAAAAGAUAAUGUAACAGGUUUGGUUUUCUGUGCUGUUUGUUAGCAGCUUCAUUUGGAAAACAACCCACGUGCUUGCAGAUCCUCUCCAACUGUCCCUCCACUGCUCUCAACUUAGGAAGUCAGUGGCCAUUUCAACUGUAGGCAGAGGAGGUUGAAGUUUCCUGUAUCUUCUGCACAAACAGAAACUGCUCAACAAUGGCCAGCCAGAGACCUAAAUUAAUACACUUAUAAAUGGCAACGGAGUUUAAUAUCUGUCCCGGAGGCAUUCAAGGCCAGGCUGGAUGUGGCUCUGGGCAGCCUGAUUUGGUGGUUGGUGACGUGCACAUAGCAGGGGGAUUGAAACCAGAUGAUCAUUGUGGUCCUUUUCAACCCAGGCCGUUCUGUGAUUCUAUGAUUUCUAUUUGCCUGUCUGUCCACAUGCAGCCUCCCACCCAGCACUGCUGCGGGCAGCUUACCUCACUUGGCAAAAAAAAUGCACCCACAAAACCAAAAGAAACCUAGAAGUAGUAGUGCUGCAGUUCAGGUAGCUUUGUGCCCCAUCACCGUGUAAAAAUUAAAAAGAUAUAAAAGGAUAUAGCAACUAAUGAGCAGAAUUUUUCUUGCACCUGUAGAUGUACUGCAGCUGGAAAAGCUGAAGGAAAUCACACUGACAGCAGUGGACACACACAUCCGUAUCAUGCAUUUGAAAGCACAAAGAACAAAGCUCUGCUGAAUGUGGGAAUUGGAAAGCCUGACAGAUUUAACCCAGGUUAUCCCGUGGCAAAUUAGCUACUGUUGAAACACAAGGCAUUACAUCAUCUAUUUGCAAGGAUUUUUUUUUUUCCAAGCUAAAUUAUUGUGUUCACAGCUUAAAAAAUAUCAUUUCUUCCUAACAGACUCAACAAAAUGAAGGGGUGGAUCAAGCUCUUUGCAGGGAAGCACACACCUAAACUGCUCUGCAAGUUCAAACACAAGGUUUUAUCUAGAAUUUAGCAGAAAAUAUAGAGUGCUCCUUCAGGCCUAUCUGUUCAGAUUCAAGGAUGAAAAGCCCAUUUUUUUCAAAAUUAUGCUGUGCAAAAUAAUGGAAUCACAUAACAGAAUCAAAGAACAUCCCGAGUAGAAAGGGAGCCACAGGGAUCAUCUACUGGGGGCUGAACUCACAUAGCUCUGCCAGACACCCAGGUGAUGAGACGGCUGGUGGGGGCUCACCUGAUCCUUCCUUCCAUUUCUGCCAUCUACCUAAAUAGCUGCAGAUUCCACUCCUAGAUGCCACACCACCAUAAUGGGCCACAUUGAGAGGCAGAGAAGGAUCAGCUGCAAACUGAGCUGCUGGAGGCACCGCCAGCGCCUGUUCUCAUGUUCAACUUGUAGACUUGUUUUCCCUCGAUCCCCACACAUCUGUUGGUGCAAUCUUGUUUCUCAAAGCUUGGCAGAACCCUAAUUCUGCAGCACCUGCUUUUCAACACUUGCUUCUCAGAGCUUUCUCCAGUGAGUCUGAAGGGCCAAGCUCUCACAGGCUCUCUCGGUGCAGCUUUGAAAACCAUGAUGCACUGGAAAACUGAAGCACCCAGUUGAUCUGAGAGGUUUCACACAAGCUGGUGUUCCAGCUCUUCAAACUUAAGAACUGUCAGAUGUCAGAAAGUGGAAGUAUGCCAGGCAAAGCAUUUGAAAACAGCUAAAGGAGAAAUCAUUGGUCUCGUCCCCAAGAAGAGAAAGUUUUACACAUAGAUACACAGCUUGUGCAGAUUGAGGCCCUCUGAUAUGUUUGGCAGUUUCAUAUAUACCAACCCACGUUGGCCGGUGACCACAAGGCAGGGCAUCCAAGCAAGGAACAAGAUUUUUAUCAACUAAAACUUCAUAAAAGAAGGAUUCUUCUUCUAAAACCAGCACAGGCUUGGAAUACAGCUCUGUCACCAUCAUGCCUUUAGAUAUUCAAGAGUACAGUGAGAAAUUUUGUUUUAGAUUUAAAAAAUAUUAAAGGGUUAUUUUGAGUAAUGGACAAGCAAUGGGGGCUCUAAGAAUAAAAUACUCCACAAAAAGAAAAGAAAAAUCAACAAAGUUCAAGAAAACUCCAUCUGUGGAAGUCCUGUUAAAGGUAAAUUACCCUUUGAAACAGCCAGAACUGUAAUAAACAGAGAAGAAUGGGCUUUGCUGUCAGGAUGUAAUUAAAAAAAGAAACAAGCAACACAACCACUCCGCUCUGUUCCAUAUGGAGAUAGCCAGGAGCUGAUUUGGGAGAAUGUCAAGCAAACAAAUUUUCACUCUGAGAUUGCAAAAGGUCACUGCAAACAAUUACUACAACGAAUACUAAAAGCAACAUAUGCCUAUGCUUUUUCUCAAUUUAACAAGAUAUCUUUACAGCUUUAGUUACGAUAUGGAAGGAGUAACAACACUGAGGAUUACACAGCCACGUUCAGUCAUUGUGCAAAUACCAGGGAACCAUUAAAAUUGCAUUUCAAUGUGAGUAGGCUGUACAAGUGUUCGCUUCCUCUUCUCCCUCUGCUUUUGCCAAUUGCAGCUCCCAAAACAGAUCUGAUCCACAGUUAAACUCAGGCCAGAACGAAGACAUUCCUUGCCAUGUAUGGGAAAUAAGGAGGUUAUUAAUUUCACUUCUCAUAAUAGAAGAGCAGAAGACACGGUAAAGAGGCCUCGGGAUAAAAAGUCAGGCAAUAAAAAGAAGUGCUCACGUCUCAAAGAUGUGCACCAAUAGCACGUCUUCCCAGCUGUCUCCCUGCCAAGCAGCCUUCAGAAUGGGGCAUUUUCUUCUUUCAGUGCGACUUCAGUCCCCAUUAACAGGGACUGCAUGCGUCAGCACAAAACUUUUGUCCAGCAGCACGCAGGAACUGAAAAAUGAGCAUCCUAUUCCAAUGACCUUCACAGACAUACACAACAGUGAGCCAUUCUUGUCCAUUCAGCAUGUUCAUUUAUAACAAGUCCCACAGAUUCACUAAAUUACCCUCCGUGGUCCUGAGCAGGCUCAGGAUUUGCAAUUAGGAUAAAAGAGGCUGGGAGCAAGCCCCUGACAUCAGAUAUGACCUCAAUACCUGCUCUACACCUGUCCACGCUUUACAGUGCUCAGCUACUCCUGUUGCUGUCAGAAGAGGUCAAGCAUACACAGGCAUUGCCCUCCCUAAGGAACAGGCACCCAUCCCUACUCUCCUAUUCAGCAGCAAAGGAGAAGCAAACCCAGCUUCUCUCUGUGCUGCCUCGAGGUCUUUGCCUUUUGAGGAACAGACCAGCUCUGACCCAGCACCUCCCUAGCUCCAGCACUGGGAUGCCAUGGGAAUGACAAGUUCUACUUCCUGAAAAUUAAUGAAGCUUGGAACAAAGGGAAGGUGACAAAGGGCUCUGGUAUAAUCCUCUCUUUCCCCAGAAGGCUCCACACAAGCAUACAGCCAAUACUCACAGUACGAUGACUUAGCACUGCACUGCCUCAAUACGCUCACACGAGCUUUUGGUAAACCAGGCUAAGAAUAGGCACAGGGACAGCAAUGCAUGCAAAUAAAACACCCCUGCGUAGCAGCAUGAAGCUCACAAGAAAUACUUGCGGUGCCACUUCUGCUUCAAUCAGUUUUAGGAAGAGGAAAUUCACUUCGGUUCUUUUUAUAAAACCCAUUCUGUUACGUUUGUAAAACAGCUGCCACUUUCUCUGCCCAAUAUAGCCACUUCCAGCAGUAACCAAAGGAUCGCUGUGGCUGCGCAUGUAUUAUGUAUAAGAGAUGCAUAUUAAAACAGACUUGAGAUCUGUCUGGAGAUUACAUGUCACUCCUCCAAGUCAAUGGAAUGAUACCAAGAUGCAAGUCAGCGCAGAGCCCAGGCUGUACCUGUAUGAACUGCUCCAAAAGAUGCUCUGGGCAUUGCUGCCUGAGUAACGUCAGCUGAAAUGAGCUCAGCAAGGCAGGCAGACAACGGAGAGAAAAACAUCUUCCUCCCUGACACCUCCUUUCACAAGGAAGAAAUAAUUGCGUAGCUUGGCCUUUCUAAUCAAGACUGUUGUCCUUGUAUUUUUAAAAGUCAUUUGCAGAAAAAAAGCAGAGCUGAGUCCUAAGGAAAAAGAGAGAGCUUCAGUGCAAAAGCCUCGAGAUACCUGCCGGCUCCAGCUCAAUUGCUGCUCCCAACUAACUGCACCCCUGAGACACUUGCAAGAGACUCAGUGCUAUUCUUCACUGCCACGAAGUAAAAACAAAGUCAGCAAACCCUGGGGGCAAACGGGAGAAAGCGGUGGCAAGAUUUCUUUCCAUCUUUUAUUAUUUGCAUCAAGUCUUAAUUCCUGCUAAUAACUCUGAGAUGUACAUCAAUAAUAACACAUGGCAGUGUGUUUCAAUGCAGCCCAGCAGCAUUAAAUCAAAGAGGUUCCGUGUGCUCUACUUUUAGGAAGGGCAGCAAAAGAACCACCACCCAGCACACCAUGACCAUGACCAGGUUACCUCUCCCCAUGACCAGGUUACCUCACCUUUUUCCACGCCUUUGUUUUUUGUUUCUGGGUGCACGGCUGAGAACUUGCAAGGGAAGGCUUAACACCAGUGAAUUGUCAGACACCACAGUAAUUAGUGGCAGCUUCCCAACACAUCCAUCUCUGGCCACGGUUCUGAUAGCUGGCUCCUCCUCAAUGCCCACAUUAAAAUCAAGGCACACAAGGUAGGCGGCAGAUUCAUUUACCCAAGGGCUUCCCAGAAGAGAUGCCUAAGGAAAGAAAUAUCUUACCUAAACAGUGCCUGUUUGGUCGGUUGUUUUUUAAAACUACCUGUUAUGUGACUGCUAUCUUCAUUAAUAAUCUGAGAAAGAUGUUAAUGUGCCCACUGACAUAAAGUAGAUGUACAGUGCAUUUCUAGACGAUAGGCACCCAUAGCGCACGUAUCCAACCAGCAACUUACUUCAAAAAGAGGAAGGCAGGAUUGUGCUGCCUUCUGCCUACCUGCUGCUCACACAUCAUGGCUGUGACGUUACCGAUCCACUUAGACCAAAGAGUUUUGGUCUAUUUUAUUUACAGACCCUUGCAAGUUCCCCUGCAGACACAAAGGCCUUAGGAACCCUCCAAAACCCACAGAGCAGCUCACCCCAUGCUCCACAGAUCUGGGCUCUGCUCUCAGCUCUCAGCUCGUCACUUGAUCGGCAGCUCUUCCUGUCACAAGCUGCAAUGCUUUCAUGCCAACCUUUUCCAGAAGUCAUCUGCACGUCAGUGGUACUACACAGCAGCACCAACACAGUCCAGAACACAUCAUUUCCCACUAGGUGCCUGCAUAGAGCAAACCUGCAGUAUAAUUACUUCCUCAUGCUUAUAACAGAAGCGCUGAAAGAUGAGUACAAAUCCCAUCCCCACGCGCUCUGGUGUUACAUACAAUGUGAAGGCAUUUAAUCAAGGGAGGAGAAGAUAAUCCUCUCCACAUUCAGUUGCGUGCCUUAUUCCAUCACACCCAAAUCUGGACCCAAGGUGUGGUACAGACACAUAUGAGACGAGGAAAAUCAAAGCAGUUAGGAUAUGAUGAUGGCACGACGUAAUGGAGGGUGUUGAUGGCUUUAAUUGUGCUGCCUUUACAUAAGCAAAGGGUCCAAUUACCACAGUAAGCUGCCAAAUGAAUUCAUCUUCUCUUUGACUGGCCUUAGAAAGUACUCAGCCCGUCAUAAAGCAUCCCCCCUCAGGGAAACCACACAUGCAUGGAACAACUUGUUUCCUUCUAGAUGACAUUUUGGCAUUCCAACACAUAGAAUUCACUUUCAAACACAUUCAGAGAUGACCAACGUACUGGCGCAGAUUUGAGAUGACUACACAGCUCCACAAUCCCUUCAUGUGACACAAAGUAGUACGAAACAGUAAGAAAGCUCAUCCUGCAGAGCCAGAUGUCAGGAUGUGUGCUUCAGCACAGCAGUGCCAUAACCAAAAUGCAACGGGAAGGGGAGCAAUCCUCAGGCUAUGUGUGUUGCCAGCAUCCCUGAGAAGAAUGUCAGAUAAGAAGAUAUCUCUGAGUAUUCUGAAUCAUGGGGAAGGCAUUUUAUGAAACAAGACAGGUAAAAGGUUAACCAGUUGGAAACUAUGCAGGAAAAAAAAAAAGAAGUGUUACCUGUACAGAGAGAAAUGUUGUUAGCAUUUUGUAUUAGAAGAAACUUGAGAGGGUUUCCUGCAUUCAUGGGUUAACCCCAUGUUCUCAUACUGCCCUCAGUAUGUUUGCAUCUGUAGCAAAAUGACAGAGGUUUCCUUAAUUCAUCAAAACUCAUGCAGGGGAGGGGACAGGCAGAAAAAGACACUCAGCCAACUCCAUGCAGUGACAUCCCAACUAUCUAAAGAACUGAUGGUAAGGGUGAAAGAAACUCCUUUACAUCAAACUAUAUGUAGUUAUUGAACAGCCUGAGUUGAAAAGGACCACAAUGACCAUCUGGUUUCAACCCCCCUGCUAUGUGCAGGGUCGCCAACCAGCAGCCCAGGCUGCCCAGAGCCACAUCCAGCCCGGCCUUGAAUGCCUCCAGGGAUGGGGCAUCCACAGCCUCCUUGGGCAACCUGUUCAGUGCGUCACCACCCUCUGGGUGAAAAACUUCCUCCUAAUAUCUAAUCUAAACCUCUGCUGUUGCAGUUUAAAACCAUUCCCCUUCUGCUAAGUCAUUAGCACAAGGUUAUUAAGUCAUUGUCAUUAGUGGGAGUCUUCGGGUUCCCUUCCCCUGGACAACCAGAAAAGCUUAAAUUUGCUCCAUUGACAAGUCUCAGUUUUCUGUAUUUCACUCACUGUGACCAACAAGGGACAGAUCGCUUUGUAGUCACUGCAAAUGCCACACAGCCCUGAAAAGCCACCACCAGCCACUGCCAGUUAGCAGGGGCAGAUGCCAGCAGAGGGAGCACAGCACACCUGUGCACUCCUUACAUAAAAGCACAGGUAGAUCCAACUCUGCCAGCAAAUGCUGAAUUUAAAAAUAUGUAUUGAAACUUGCUUUAAAAUUGUCACAGUCCUGUAGGAAAUGUCCAGCAAGCCAAGCAAAAAGCUACAAAAUGUCCUUUCAAAUACAUUUCUGAAAGAUUAGUCAAUCCUCUAAAUGGCUCCUGCUGGUAGCAGACAUCAAUUAGCUAACAGCAAUGAUUUCACAAAAACAGGAUUGCAAUCUGUGCUUCAGAACUGGGCCUGUGAUUGCUGCAUAAUAACACCUAUCUACUGGUUGGCCAGCACUCAGGGCUUCCUACACCCCAGGUCAGAUAGGGAUCAAUUAGCUGUGAGCCAUAGAGCUAUAUGCGCUCCUGUCUUCAUCCUUCUUACCCAAACCCCAAAACCUCAAACUGGCUUUGCACCUCUUUUCAGGCAAUAUCCACCUUAUUUGCAUCUGAGAAUCAGACAUCUCAGCUGCAGGAGCCAACUCAACCACGACAAUCACCAGUAAACAGCACUAUAAAGUCUUCUCCGAGAAGAAAAUUGUGGGCUGUGCUUUUGAGGAUAUGUCUAAAUUGCAACCACAGUGCUACAAGCAUACUCAGAGCAGCCAUAGCCCAGCAAGCACAACAGGGGUUGUACGGACAACUGUCUGGCCCAGCUGCGUGCCUCAAAUCCCAUGUAAAUGCUGCCCCAGCAGCUGCAUUCCAGCAGAGAUACAACUAACUGUACUGAAACGCCCCAUGCCUGAAUACGCACAUGGACAUCACUUGUUUUUUUCACAGACCCCAUGUAUUUUGCUUGCUGAGUGGUUAGGUCAUAAGGACCUCCAUUUGGGUUAGGAUUCAUUCAUUACAGUAACACAAAAAUUCCAGGCUGGGUUAAAACCCCAGUGUUAGGAACUGCUUCAGUCUGUGCGUGACCCAAAAAGGGGUAUUUAGCACAGAUAACAGGUAGGGAAAUGAGACAACAAGCACAGGGAAAACCUCCCUGCUGGUGAGGAGUCAUGAUCCAGUGAUUGGGUAGUCCUUCCCAGGUCUGUAUUUUGUGGGGUUUUUCCAAAGUAGAAAAAUUGCCUCUGGACUAGGAACCAACUGACAUCUGACCACUACGAUCUUGGCUUCAAAUAGCUGGCACAUCUGGUUAGCUGCAUCUCCCAGCCUGCUGGAACUGUUAUGGGAAGGAGAAGGAAUGCCCUGAGGAAAGAGGGGAAGGUGACAGGAGUCAAACAGCAGGGAGGAAAAUCAGGCAGCAGAGAUCGUGAGGGAGAGAGAACAAAUACACACAGCCAGAAGAAAAAAGAAUGUUUUUUGAGUUCACCUUUAAGAUGAUGAUGCUGUGGGAUUUCAAAACUUAAUAGUCACAGAAAGCAGAUUUGAGGUGGCCUCUGGCUCCCCACAUGCAAGCAAGCACUAGUAAUAUAUCAAACAGCGUUCAAACCCGUGUCUGAACAGUGACAUGCUACAAACACCCAGAGGAAGACGAUCUUUCCCAUCCCACCUUAACAGCACAAAAACAGCCUUCCAAUUUUGCCGUGUACCACUGAGAAACAGCCUAAACGACAGCAUUUCAACAACUGUGGUUUUCUUGUUUUGCACAUUUGCUGCUUCUGCUCUGAUUUGACAACUGCCAAAAGCCAUCCUCGCAUGCAAACAAACAUGAGAGCUAACAGUCUCCACUUGCAAAACGAGAGAAUAUCAGAAAACUCUUUUGGACUUCCCUUCUGCAAAGAGACAUCAAGAAGUUCAAGAACUGUCAGUACCCCAGCUGAGCUGCCAGAAGAAUUUGGCUGUGCCAUGCUCAAAUGAAGACAGCCCAUUACCCCUGCUCCAGAAUCUCUUAACACUGAGCUGAACUGAUGCAAGCUCCGGUUUCUGGAAUGAAAACUGAAAAAACAGAGGCAUCACAAAGCCAUUAAGUGAAUAUGGGUAAAGCCACGUGUAACAGCAGGACCCUCAGAUGGUAUGUGAAGCCAGGGGGCUUUGUGGGGGUGAACACUUCUCCCAUCACCCCAAAUUCAGACCCUGGUUCACUUCUGAUGCUCCCUUUGCAUAGAAAGAAGUUUAGGAUUAUUUACUGCCUACUAAAGCCCAAAAACACACCCAGUGUGCCAAGAGCCUUAUUAUCUCAAUUACAACAGAAAUAUCAAUCAAAGCACAUUUGCAACGCGUGCGUCAGACUUUGACAUCUCACAUAGAUUUCUCCACAAAAGCAGAAAUAUCCGUCAGAGCGACCUGCCCACGACACCCGACUCAGGAAACAAAGUUAUUUCAUCUCCUUCUUACAGAUACCAAGCUUGCCCUACGGAAACCCAGAAGUGUUGAAGCCAAGCUAUCAUAUCAGGGUAUCGACGCACACUUAUCAGAUGCAUGCAUAAGCAACAAGAGACCAGAAACCAACCAGGGAGAUGCACUCACUGCUUGGCUUCUAACACACGCAGCAGCAGAACGGCGCUCCUGGAGAGGAUGCUUUGCUCCUCCGCUCAUCCUGAGCACCCACUGAACGACUUCCAGCUGCAAAACCGUUUGGCUCAGGGCAUAGCCAGGGGUUGGGCACUAAUGUGUUAGCCCACGCUUUUUUUUUUUUU